GGCGAAGUGGCCGAGUUGGUUAUGGCGCUAGGUUAAGGUCAUACCUUAAUACAAACUUCCUAGUAGAGAAAUCUGCGCGAGUUCGAGUCUCGUCUUCGUCA